UUAAAAAAUGUAUCAUGGUGCUCGCUUCGGGAUGAUACAGAGAUUAGCUUGGCCCCUGCGCAAUGAUGACACGCAAAUUCGUGAAGCGUUCCAUAUAUUU
rnacentral:snRNA from 1 species